rnacentral:lncRNA from 1 species
CACAACCCUAAGGUUAUAUGUCAUUACUGCAAUCGCGUAGGUCACAUUGCACCCGUGUGUUUUGCGAAACAUAGGGAUUUAUCUUUUGGAUAUAAUUAUUAUUUGCCUAACCCUCAAGGACCCAAAAUGGUUUGGGUACCAAAGACCUCUCCGUAUGUAUUUCAUUUUUGCAGGUGUGCUUGAAGACUACAAAAUUGUAGUAGAUGCACCAAGCACGAC